rnacentral:sRNA from 1 species
UCCGUUUGCACGGUAGAUCGACGGUGCU